CGUUUUAUACACAGUACUGGUACGGGUUGCCGGCCAAAAGCAUUUGGGCAAAAUUUGGGGAAGUUUCCUUUUGAUAUAUUCAUUGCAUCUUCGGGGGCUGUUUCUCUGCAUUGUGACCUGUGUUUUGGGUUAUGGCAGAAACUGAUAAACUGAAUAUUGACAGCAUAAUCGCGCGUCUCUUGGAAGUUAGAGGAGCACGGCCAGGAAAGAAUGUUCAGCUGACUGAGAAUGAAAUCAGAGGCCUUUGCCUGAAGUCUAGGGAAAUUUUCCUAUCACAACCUGUUCUGCUUGAGUUGGAGGCACCUCUCAAAAUAUGUGGUGAUAUUCACGGUCAAUACUACGACCUCUUGCGGCUGUUCGAGUACGGCGGCUUCCCCCCAGAGUCCAACUACCUCUUCCUGGGAGACUACGUCGACCGAGGGAAGCAGUCGCUAGAAACCAUCUGCCUCCUGCUAGCCUACAAGAUCAAAUACCCCGAGAACUUCUUCCUCCUACGUGGAAACCAUGAGUGCGCUAGCAUCAACAGAAUAUAUGGCUUCUAUGAGGAAUGUAAACGGCGGUAUAACAUCAAACUGUGGAAGACGUUCACCGACUGUUUCAACUGUCUGCCGGUGGCGGCGAUCGUGGACGAGAAGAUAUUCUGCUGCCACGGCGGCCUGUCGCCCGACCUGCAGAGCAUGGAGCAGAUCCGGCGCAUCCCGCGGCCCACAGACGUGCCCGACCAGGGCCUGCUCUGCGACCUGCUCUGGUCCGACCCCGACAAGGAUACGAUGGGGUGGGGCGAGAACGAUCGCGGAGUAUCCUUCACGUUCGGCGCAGAGGUGGUGGCCAAGUUCCUGCACAAGCACGACUUUGACUUGAUAUGCAGAGCACACCAGGUGGUGGAGGACGGGUACGAGUUCUUCGCCAAGCGGCAGCUGGUAACGCUCUUCUCGGCGCCCAACUACUGCGGCGAGUUCGACAACGCCGGCGCCCUCAUGUCCGUCGACGAGACGCUCAUGUGCUCCUUCCAGAUCCUGAAGCCGAACGGAGAGAUUUACGAAUUUCCUCCGAGGAAAGGCCCACCUCCGCCGGCUGCGUUUCCGGCAACGUUCAACACGCAGCCAGACCAAGAGCUCCAGUGUCGAGCAGAUGCAGGUUCAAGCUUCGAACCCAAUGCUCGAGACGACGUCCAUGGCAGCAAGGCUCCGAAGGUCGAUGUCAUGAAGGAAGUUGACAAGUUCAGUCGCGAACUGUCCGCCAUCCUGAGCGACUCCACGCUCCAGACCGACAAUGUGAAACCUGCGGAAGAAAAAGAGCGUCCUUGGAAUAGGGAAGCUUCUGUGAGCCGACGAUCUAACUUUGAGGACACGGAUAGCCACCGUUUUGAGACGAGCCGGCAUUCUCGCAAUGAAAAUGACGCCAUGCUUGAGCUACUGGAAACCGAGGAGGCACGUCCGCCCUCGUUCAGAGAACCCGACGGGCGACGAUUCAUGACUGGCCACUCGUCCAUCUCGGCGAGUGGCUCUGCUCUGAGACGACAGCCGACUGAUCCCGUUGAGGAGAUGCUGGAUAUUUUCAAAGAGCGCAGCAAAGUGCGGGACCCGGUGGGCCAUGACGAACGAACGCUCCGAAGGAAGCCAAUGGUAGACGAGUGGGAAGACUCUGAUGGUGAAGAAAGACGGGUUGUCUCAAGCGUGAUGGAGCGUCAACAAGUCCAAGAGCUCCUAGAUGGAUCUGGUGAAGAAGUGAAAACAGUGUCUGUUGUGAAUGAGCCUUCAACUCAUUCCAGUAGGCAGGUUGUGAUGGACGAUAUGUUUGGAAUGGUCGUCAGCAAGCCAGCGGAUACGAAUGAUUGGGAAAUGGACGAAGAACAACCCAACAUAUCAGUCAUUGAAGAGCGUCACGUCCGGUCACCGACGGAAGCGUUGAACCGCCCAAAUAACGUGUACGUUGAGCUCUCGCCCGGCCAUAUUGUCCGCCGUUCGCCGCUCUCAGGUCAGGAGUGGGAAAGUCCCCCUGCGGAUGAUUUACGAAGGGUCAGGUCGAGCGAAGAAAGGUUCGUCGCUAUAUCUCGGGAUCAUAGUCAAGAAGCUCAUGGCGGUGAAGAACCGCCCGAAAUUAGUGCCAUCAAAUACGAAAUACCCUUAGAGAUUCGCGGCAUCAAACGAAGCAGAAGUCCAGGACCACCUUCUCGCGCUUCUAAGGCAAAGAGACACUCUCCUGCGCCACGCCGAAGAUCUGGAGAGCGGGAGGUCAGGAACCGUUCCCAAAGACAUUCAGAGAAUAGAGAAGGCUCUCGCCAGGUAUCACGAAGAGAACCGAGAGAGCGUGUGGAGGAAGAAGAAGCAGGACACAAACAUGCGAGAAUUACUGCUAAAGCUUCUGCGUUUUCAAGUGAACAAUCACUUUCCAAGCAUCGGGAAGAACGCAGACGAUCUAUCGAACGAGAAGUUAGACGACCGAUAGAUCAUCGAGUCGCAGUACGAUCGAGGGAACGCGAAAUAAGGCGCUCGAGAGAGCGAGGAUUUGAUGGGAGAGACGAACGAGAGCGAAGAAGAUCGAGGGAUAAAGAAACACAGCGACUACGAGAACGGGAGACCAGGAGAUCGAGAGAAAGGGAACCGAGACGAUCAAGAGAAAGAGAACCGAGACGAUCAAGAGAAAGAGAACCGAGACGAUCAAGAGAAAGAGAAACGAGACGAUCAAGAGAAAGAGAACCGAGACGAUCAAGAGAAAGGGAGCCGAUACAUCCAAGGGAGCGAGAGCAGAGGUCAUCAAGGCCAACAGAAGGCAGACACGUUUCUUCUCGUAUGUCCUCGAGAGAAGAGGCCUCGCAGCGAUCUCGACAAAACGCCGAAGGAUCGCCUCCGCAAAGGCAUCGACGACUACGAGACAGAUCGCCUGAGGCACGUAAACCGGCUGGCGAUUCAAAGCGUCUGGAACACCGUCUGAAGUCUAUGGCUGCUCCUACCGAACGAGAACGAGACCAGAGAACUGUCAAGCCGAGGUCCGACAAAUUCCACUGGCGGAAAGGUGACGAUGGGGAGCAAGUCAUGGCUGGGUUCCAAGUGGUAGAUGAGGUAGUAGCCUCCGACGAAGAGAUCGAGGUGCAAGUCCCAGAAGAUGUGGCGAGCGACAAUGGGAAAGACGAUGACUCUUCCGGGAAAGGUGGAAAACUUGACAAGGACCAGGUGUCAGCAACAAAGUCUAAAGAACCUGAACAGAAGACUAAACAAGAUGAAGCGAAAAAGCGUCAUUUGAUUUGGAACGAGUCUUCUGACGAAGAGAAAGAGACGAAUGACAUUUAUUGCAAGGGCAAGGACACUCCAGGAUGCUGUCGAGUCGUCGUUAUUACCGACGAGUCGCUAAGGAAUCUGCACUCGGACGGCAACUUUGACUCAAGAAUAAACUUUCGGUGUCUCCCCGGGCGCAAAAUGCGUGAGCUUAUGGAAGUUGCCAAGCAUGAACUCGAGGCGAGCAGUGACCCAGUCUUCCUUGUUGUCUGUGGCGGAGGGAAUGAUAUUUACACGGCAGAUAGAGUCGAACACCAUCGCGUCAUCGAUGGGAUGCGCAGGACGCUUCAGAGUAUUAGCGCCAGAGUCAGAAACCACUCUCCGCAUAGCCGGAUCUUGGUCACACGUGUUCCUCCGAGGCAGGCCAACAAAUACACUGUGAUUUUGGCGAAACAGGCCAAUAUGCUCAUCGAAGAGACGAACGCCAGGAACUGUGUCGAUAAUGUGAACUUCACAUGGACGGUGUUUACCAACCAGAUCUUCCGGCCCGACUUCUUCACGGGUUCUUCUGGCAAGUAUCCCGUGCCGAAGAUCGAGAAGCAGUGGCACCACUUGGUUCUGAAGGUCGUCUUACCCGUCCUAGACGAGAAGCUGGAUUUGAAAGUGCACAAGAAGAAAGGAGUGAACGUGAAGAGUGGUGAAAGGAGUGAAACAUCGAGGUCCGUCACCAAGGUGCGUGGAAACGGCGAUUCGCGAGAUCGAAAGGCGAGUUCGACUGAUCGCAAGGCGGAGAAGACUGCAAAGCAAACCAAGAAAAGCAACCAGGCUGAAGAAACCCUGAAAAAUGAGUCGGGCCCUGAAGUUUCGUCAGGGCGUACGACUAAAAAACACAGUGAACCGGUUUCUGACUCUCAGGGUACGGAAAACAAGACAGAUGGUGAGAAGCCUGUCGCAGAAACAAAAGAGAACUCAUCCGCAGACGCGAGUGCCAUUCAUUCUAGUGGCCCGGAAGAACAACACAACAAGGAUGUCGACCCACUAGGAAAAGAAGAAGACAGCGAAAACUCUACUUCACGAACGCUCGCGCCACGUGUGAAGGUGGAUCUGAUAGGCAACGUUGAUGCUGCUCAAGACGCCAUCAAUGACAACUCCGAUAAAAGAGCCGAUGAACCUCACGACGACAAGGAAGAUGAAGACGUCAUCGUCGUGUGUAAAGAAGGAGAUGCUGAUGAGUGAAGUAGAAUAAGAUUUGUAAAGAUUCCAAUAGUAAAGUGAAAGACACUUCAUUGGUGUACAGAAAAAAAUGCUUGUUAAUCUAGACGUGCCAUUUCAUCUAAGGACCUGCCAUUACAUUGAAGAGUGGAUGCUGCCUACCUUUCACUUGAGCCCAUCGACCGGAAAAAGAUCUACGGUGGCAUGAACUCGGGACGGCCGAUCACACCACCUCGAGGCGGCUUUCAGGGAAACAACAAAGGCAAAAAGAAAUGAAGAGCUGUGGAUGGCUAGCUCAGUCUCGGACUGUGUGAUCGUUAUAGACUCGGUGACGGCCCCGCUGGCCACAUGUAACCCAGUGAAAUGUACUGCGAGAUGAUUUGUUAGCACCUAUACUGGACAGUUUACAUGGUGUCAUGUGCGUUGUACAUAGUGACCUAUGUGCGAUAACUCAUGUUUGUGAAACAUCGGAGGAGUCGCUCGUCAAACUACUUAGAGUUUAGAUGCUGUUUUGUUAGGUCCUAUUUUCUCUCGAUUGUUACGCCAAAAACAUUGUGGCGGCAUACGCCAGCUAGGAAUCCGCAUUUCAUUGUGAGGCCGUUUGAGGCAGUAUUUUUUAUACCCGAUGGAUCAGCCGUCAGCCGCGGUCGGGGUUAUCCAAGUACUGCUGGGAAGGCGGGCCGACUGUGUAUGACGGUACAAACGCUGGCGUGGCGGCGGCCUGUCCCAUUUGUCAAACUUGCCUGAUGCGAGCGGGGAAGCCGUGCUUUGCAGUGUCGACGCGUUUUAAACAUCAGCUCACUGGAGGCAGUGCGAAGAAGGCCCAAUAAAAUGAACCAUCGAAUCAUCG
rnacentral:misc_RNA from 1 species